ACGAACGCUGGCGGCGUGCUUAACACAUGCAAGUCGAACGGAAAGGCCCUGCUUUUGUGGGGUGCUCGAGUGGCGAACGGGUGAGUAACACGUGAGUAACCUGCCCUUGACUUUGGGAUAACUUCAGGAAACUGGGGCUAAUACCGGAUAGGAGCUCCUGCUGCAUGGUGGGGGUUGGAAAGUUUCGGCGGUUGGGGAUGGACUCGCGGCUUAUCAGCUUGUUGGUGGGGUAGUGGCUUACCAAGGCUUUGACGGGUAGCCGGCCUGAGAGGGUGACCGGCCACCUUGGGACUGAGGUACGGCCCAGACUCCUACGGGAGGCAGCAGUGGGGAAUAUUGCACAAUGGGCGGAAGCCUGAUGCAGCAACGCCGCGUGCGGGAUGACGGCCUUCGGGUUGUAAACCGCUUUCGCCUGUGACGAAGCGUGAGUGACGGUAAUGGGUAAAGAAGCACCGGCUAACUACGUG
rnacentral:rRNA from 1 species